rnacentral:rRNA from 2 species
AGAGUUUGAUCAUGGCUCAGAUUGAACGCUGGCGGCAGGCCUAACACAUGCAAGUCGAACGGUAACAGGAAUCAGCUUGCUGAUUCGCUGACGAGUGGCGGACGGGUGAGUAAUGUCUGGGAAACUGCCUGAUGGAGGGGGAUAACUACUGGAAACGGUAGCUAAUACCGCAUAAUGUCGCAAGACCAAAGAGGGGGACCUUCGGGCCUCUUGCCAUCGGAUGUGCCCAGAUGGGAUUAGCUUGUUGGUGGGGUAACGGCUCACCAAGGCGACGAUCCCUAGCUGGUCUGAGAGGAUGACCAGCCACACUGGAACUGAGACACGGUCCAGACUCCUACGGGAGGCAGCAGUGGGGAAUAUUGCACAAUGGGCGCAAGCCUGAUGCAGCCAUGCCGCGUGUAUGAAGAAGGCCUUCGGGUUGUAAAGUACUUUCAGCGGGGAGGAAGGGAGUAAAGUUAAUACCUUUGCUCAUUGACGUUACCCGCAGAAGAAGCACCGGCUAACUCCGUGCCAGCAGCCGCGGUAAUACGGAGGGUGCAAGCGUUAAUCGGAAUUACUGGGCGUAAAGCGCACGCAGGCGGUUUGUUAAGUCAGAUGUGAAAUCCCCGGGCUCAACCUGGGAACUGCAUCUGAUACUGGCAAGCUUGAGUCUCGUAGAGGGGGGUAGAAUUCCAGGUGUAGCGGUGAAAUGCGUAGAGAUCUGGAGGAAUACCGGUGGCGAAGGCGGCCCCCUGGACGAAGACUGACGCUCAGGUGCGAAAGCGUGGGGAGCAAACAGGAUUAGAUACCCUGGUAGUCCACGCCGUAAACGAUGUCGACUUGGAGGUUGUGCCCUUGAGGCGUGGCUUCCGGAGCUAACGCGUUAAGUCGACCGCCUGGGGAGUACGGCCGCAAGGUUAAAACUCAAAUGAAUUGACGGGGGCCCGCACAAGCGGUGGAGCAUGUGGUUUAAUUCGAUGCAACGCGAAGAACCUUACCUGGUCUUGACAUCCACGGAAGUUUUCAGAGAUGAGAAUGUGCCUUCGGGAACCGUGAGACAGGUGCUGCAUGGCUGUCGUCAGCUCGUGUUGUGAAAUGUUGGGUUAAGUCCCGCAACGAGCGCAACCCUUAUCCUUUGUUGCCAGCGGUCCGGCCGGGAACUCAAAGGAGACUGCCAGUGAUAAACUGGAGGAAGGUGGGGACGACGUCAAGUCAUCAUGGCCCUUACGACCAGGGCUACACACGUGCUACAAUGGCGCAUACAAAGAGAAGCGACCUCGCGAGAGCAAGCGGACCUCAUAAAGUGCGUCGUAGUCCGGAUUGGAGUCUGCAACUCGACUCCAUGAAGUCGGAAUCGCUAGUAAUCGUGGAUCAGAAUGCCACGGUGAAUACGUUCCCGGGCCUUGUACACACCGCCCGUCACACCAUGGGAGUGGGUUGCAAAAGAAGUAGGUAGCUUAACCUUCGGGAGGGCGCUUACCACUUUGUGAUUCAUGACUGGGGUGAAGUCGUAACAAGGUAACCGUAGGGGAACCUGCGGUUGGAUCACCU